UGACCCGGACGUGAUUUGAACACGCAGCCUUCUGAUAUGGAGUCAGACGCGCUACCGUUGCGCUACCGAGUC
rnacentral:tRNA from 13 species